CUCUACAGAUACUUCUCCAAGGCCUGAAAAACCAGACCUUCUUCUUCUCUCUGCCCCACUGCCCCUGGCAAGAAGCAUAGUAAUAGGCUUAGGACAGACCAGAACAGAUAAGUAAAUCUUUUUUGUUAUUGUUGCUUCUCCGAGAAUGAUACCAGUGUUUGCCCCUUUGUUCCAACACAGCCAGGGCUCUCUUUAUGACAUGUGUAGCUUGGGGUGAUCGUGGCUUUUGGUCUUCUAACUUCUCACUGUCAAACAUUCUAACAGUUUUCAGGGUUUAAAUGGCAGUCAUUGAUAUGAACAGAACCACCCCUGCUGACACCCUGUAGGGGAUAAAGCCGGAAUCUUCAGAAGGAAAAAAUCAUGAGUUUUCUACACUCAGAAAUUAAUGCUCAGGCAUGAAGAGUAAGCCUGGAGCUGGGGCAGAAGGCCUUUGAGAAGUCUGGCCUGGGCAUCUCCUGAGAGGGGCUUUCAUUCUUUUCUUUUUUUCAUUCUACAAAUGAUUCCUGCACAUCGACUGCAUUCAAGGGGAUGCAACGUUGACAAGACAGACAAGGUCCUUGCCCUCCUGGGAUGACUUCUAAGGGGGCAGGUAGACCAUAACAAGUCAAAACAUGAAUAAGUUACAUUUACAUAAUAGCGCUAUAGUUACUUUGAAAUUACUGGUGCUAUAAAGAAAUUAAGACAGUUAUUAACACAGGGAUUUUUAUGGGGAAAGAAUUUGCUUCAAAUCACAUAGUGAAGUCCUCCCCGAAGAGGAGCUGUUUGAGCUGGUUCUUCAAUAAUAAGACUAACCUAUGAAAAAGCAAGGGCUAUGGAUCAAGUAUUCUUUGAAGUGCCCUGUUCACUUCAUGGUUCUGUAGAGAAUUAGAAAACUUCCAGGAGUUUCCAAGAAUGCUGAUAUCCAGUUCACCACUUUACCCACUGGUGAGGAGAAGAAAGUCAAAGGAAACCAUAUGUCUUAGACCUUAGUCUCCACUGGUGACCUCUGUCUACCUUGACCCUUUCUCUAUCAGGUUGGAAGAAGCCUUGGAGGGCACACAGAAGCACUUCCUCCUUUUACAAACAAGAAAAGGGACAGAGUGACAACUUUAAAAAAAUCUACAUCUGAAGUUAGUUCUAUAGUUUCCUAUCUCCAGAAGAGGCAGAAAUGAACUCCACCAUGCCUAA